rnacentral:rRNA from 1 species
UACGGAGGGUGCAAACGUUGCUCGGAAUCAUUGGGCGUAAAGCGCACGUAGGCGGACCGUUAAGUCGGAUGUGAAAUCCCUCAGCUUAACUGAGGAAGUGCAUUCGAAACUGGCAGUCUUGAGUAUGGAAGAGGGUCGCGGAAUUCCCGGUGUAGAGGUGAAAUUCGUAGAUAUCGGGAGGAACACCAGUGGCGAAGGCGGCGACCUGGGCCAAUACUGACGCUGAGGUGCGAAAGCGUGGGGAGCAAACAGG